AUUGCUUCUCGGCCUUUUGGCCAAGAGCAAGUGUAGUAUCUGUUCUUAUCAGUUUAACAUCUGAUCCGUCCUCUAUCCGAGGACAAUAUAUUAAAUGGAUUUUUGGAACAGGGAGAUGGAACAGGAGCUGCUCUGAUCACUUCAUGCAGCAACCUGGCAUCGCAGUACCUCUGGGAAUGGUGCGCCAAAA
rnacentral:snRNA from 1 species